GCUACACAUGCAGUCGAGCGAGAUCUUCGGAUCUAGCGGCGGACGGGUUAGUAACGCGUGGCAACGUACCCAAAGUAGGGAAUAGCCACUGGAAACGGUGAGUAAUACCCUAUGUGCCCUUCGGGGGAAAGAUUUAUCGCCUUUGGAUCGGCCCGCGUUAGAUUAGAUAGUUGGUGGGGUAACGGCCUACCAAGUCUACGAUCUAUAGCUGGUUUUAGAGGAUGAUCAGCAACACUGGGACUGAGACACGNCCCAGACUCCUACGGGAGGCAGCAGUGGGGAAUCUUGGACAAUGGGGGCAACCCUGAUCCAGCCAUGCCGCGUGAGUGAUGAAGGCCUUAGGGUCGUAAAGCUCUUUCGCCUGUGAAGAUAAUGACUGUAGCAGGUAAAGAAACCCCGGCUAACUCCGUGCCAGCAGCCGCGGUAAUACGGAGGGGGUUAGCGUUGUUCGGAAUUACUGGGCGUAAAGCGCGCGUAGGCGGGACUGGAAAGUUGGGGGUGAAAUCCCAGGGCUCAACCCUGGAACUGCCUCCAAAACUCCCAGUCUUGAGUUCGAGAGAGG
rnacentral:rRNA from 1 species